rnacentral:tRNA from 1 species
GGGGACUUAGCUCAGUGGUAGAGCGCUUGCCUAGCAAGUGCAAGGGCCUGGGUUCAGUCCUCA